rnacentral:rRNA from 1 species
UACGUAGGGGGCAAGCGUUGUCCGGAAUUACUGGGCGUAAAGGGCGCGUAGGCGGUCAGCACAAGUCAGUUGUGAAAUCUCCGGGCUUAACUCGGAAAGGUCAACUGAUACUGUGCGACUAGAGUGCGGAAGGGGCAACUGGAAUUCUCGGUGUAGCGGUGAAAUGCGUAGAUAUCGAGAGGAACACCUGCGGCGAAGGCGGGUUGCUGGGCCGACACUGACGCUGAUGCGCGAAAGCCAGGGGAGCGAACGGG